GAUUGUACUACAAGGAACUAUUACAUCGAAGCUCAAGUUGGGAGAAUCCAAGACAUUUCAGGAGUUUCACUUUAUUUCGUGGCCUGAUCAUGGUGUUCCAAAUAUACACGACUUCAUCGAGUCCAUGUACAGUGUUCGUCAUACGAAUCCAAUACUGGUCCAGUGCUGGUACACUGCAGUGCUGGCAUCGGUCGAACUGGAACCUACAUUGCUAUAGAAAUCCUGCUGGAACAGAUGGAAAAAAAACAAUCGCAUUGAUGUCAGUAAGGUGAUGAUCGACAUGAGAGACCAGCGAAACGGAAUGGUCCAGACCAAGGAACAGUAUGAAUGUAUUUUCCUGACCAUGCUGGAGCUAUUUAAUUAUGGUAAGACCAGCCUUGCCAAUGCCGAUUUUCACCAGCAGUAUGCACAAAAGAAAGGAACCAUGGUCAUGGGCAAGAAAAGUGUCAGGUGGCAAUACUAUAUAUGGCUUCCUUUAAGUUCUCAAGCAAGGUGUUGACGUCUAGGUAUCGUACGAGUUAAUAGUAUGUUCUCGUAUACUGCAGAUUGUAAUUUGUUUGUGUUGUUACUGGUGUUGCUUUUUGUGGUGUUACUGUUGUUGCUUUUUGUGAUGUUUUUUGUUGUUGCUGUUGUUUGUCUGUUUACAUUUGUGUUUGUUGAUCAGUUUUGUUACGUGUUUCUGUGUUUUGAUUGCCAGGAAGUUGGUGCAUUGAAUGAAACUCCAUACAUAGAUUCUCCUGACAAGUACAAACUAUUUGUUGGAUGCCAAGACAAUAUGUUUGCAAUGUUUCCGCCUUCCAAACUGGCAAAACAUGGAUAUCUUCUAGUAUCGGACACAAAAGUCACAGAAGACGGGUUCUGGAAACUUACAUGACUCGUUCAUCAUCAUUUCUUUGAGCUCAGAGAGUGGUGCUAAAAUUCAUCCCAAGACUGUCUGGUUCCAUGACUCACGGCGGUACAACUAUAACAACACGACGACAAACAUCAGUCUAUCAAGAGAUUACAGAGAAGAUACUACAUGUGGAGGCAAAUGUAUUUGUAGAGAAACUGAGAAAUACAUCAUUACAGUAUUUAUGGAUGGUCUUCCACCCAUGAGUCUUUAAAACUGAUGUCUAUUUUGACAAUACUCACUGAAAAGAUACACAAGAAACAGAAGGAUGUUGGACCACACCCUGUGACAAUUGUGUACAGGGAUGCCGAGGCUAAAAAUGCCAUAUUGCUUUGCAUAGCAAACAAUAUCAUGGCAGGUAUAGAGAUGGACAAAGAAGUGGAGGUUUCAACAACAUCAGGCGGUUUCAAGCCAUCCUGCCUAAUGUAAAAAUCACCAAGAACCCCAGGUGAUCGAACAGGUGAUCGAACAGGUUGAGGUGGUAACUCCAGUGGUAACCCCACCGCCGCAAAAACAGAUCGAGCUUACCGAUGAACAAAUUGAAGAGGUUCGACAGUAUGCAUUAAAGCUGAUGAAUAUGACAGGUGGCUAGUUGCUUGGCUACGGUUGUUUCCUCAGAACUACAAUUGUAAUACCAAACAUGGAUUGUAAUAAUAAAAACUGCAGUGAAUUAUCAUAGUGACUUAAUUUGUGAUAUAAGCUGCCGUGUAAUAGUUAAUUACCAUACUAACUUGUAAAAACUACAGUGAAUUAUUAUACUGAUUUGGACUGUAAUGAAAACUGUAGUGAAUUAUUA